rnacentral:rRNA from 1 species
UACUAUGCCUAACCUUAAACUUAAACAAUAAAUUACUAUAUUGUUCACCAGAGAACUACAAGCGCUAGCUUAAAACCCAAAGGACUUGGCGGUGCCCUACACCCACCUAGAGGAGCCUGUUCUAUAACCGAUAAUCCCCGUUAAACCUCACCAUCUCUUGCUAUUACCGCCUAUAUACCGCCGUCGUCAGCUUACCUUGUGAAAGCUAAAAAAUAAGCACAAAAAACAUAACUCUUAUACGUCAGGUCGAGGUGUAGCGAAUGAAAUGGAAAGAAAUGGGCUACAUUCUUUAACUAAAAAACACGAAUGGUACACUGAAAAAUUAUCUAAAGGUGGAUUUAGCAGUAAGAGAAGAUCAGAAAGCUUCUCUGAAACUGGCCCUAGGGCGCGCACACACCGCCCGUCACUCUCCUCAAAAACACUUAACCACUUCUAUAAAAAAAUUACUUAACAAGAGGAGGCAAGUCGUAA